rnacentral:rRNA from 1 species
UAGCGGAGGGUGCAAGCGUUACUCCGGAUUCACUGGGUUUAAAGGGUGCGUAGGUGGGUCUGUAAGUCCGUGGUGAAAUCUCCGAGCUUAACUUGGAAACUGCCAUGGAUACUAUAGGUCUUGAAUACUGUGGAGGUCAGCGGAAUAUGUCAUGUAGCGGUGAAAUGCUUAGAUAUGACAUAGAACACCAAUUGCGAAGGCAGCUGGCUACACAAAUAUUGACACUGAGGCACGAAAGCGUGGGGAGCGAACAGG